GAUCCUGGCUCAGGAUGAACGCUAGCUACAGGCUUAACACAUGCAAGUCGAGGGGAAACGAUAUUGGAAGCUUGCUUCUGAUAGGCGUCGACCGGCGCACGGGUGAGUAACGCGUAUCCAACUGCCCAUCACUUGGGGAUAACCUUGUGAAAGUAAGACUAAUACCCAAUGACGUCUCUAGAAGACAUCUGAAAGAGAUUUAAAGAGACUCGGUUACAGAUGAACAUGCGUUCCAUUAGCUGGUUGGCGGGGUAACGGCCCACCUAGUCUUCGAUGGAUAGGGGUUCUGAGAGGAAGGUCCCCCACAUUGGAACUGAGACACGGUCCAAACUCCUACGGGAGGCAGCAGUGAGGAAUAUUGGUCAAUGGGCGAGAGCCUGAACCAGCCAAGUAGCGUGAAGGAUGACUGCCCUAUGGGUUGUAAACUUCUUUAUAAAGGAAUAAAGUCGGGUAUGGAUACCCGUUUGCAUGUACUUUAUGAAUAAGGAUCGGCUAACUCCGUG
rnacentral:rRNA from 1 species